UACAGAGGUCUCAAGCGUUGUUCGGAUUCAUUGGGCGUAAAGGGUGCGUAGGCGGCGCGGUAAGUCGGGUGUGAAAUUUCGAGGCUUAACUUCGAAACUGCAUUCGAUACUGCCGUGCUUGAGGACUGGAGAGGAGACUGGAAUUUACGGUGUAGCGGUGAAAUGCGUAGAUAUCGUAAGGAGACCAGUGGCGAAGGCGGGUCUCUGGACAGUUCCUGACGCUGAGGCACGAAGGCCAGGGGAGCAAACGGG
rnacentral:rRNA from 1 species